AUGGCCACCGGAGUCGCGCCGGAGCCGGAGGACGGGACCGUCGUCCUCCCCGAUUGGGCGAUGCUGGAUCGCAUCUUCUGCAGCCGGCUCCACGACGGCCUGGACGCUGCUCGUGAAGCUGUCAACAAGUACAAGACCGCCGCUCUAGUCGAGAUAGACAGCGGCCACUCCUGCUUCGUGUCCUUCACCCUCGCAGCUCCUCCACAGGCCUCCUCCUUCAACCUCCACUGGCCGGAGAAACAAAGCUCAGACAGACUCUUUGCCUUCGUCCGGGCAACCGACAAAAACCUCGUCCUCUUCGAGGUCUCCAUCCCGGUCCGGAUUCGCUACUUGGACGCCCCGACAGAUCUGUUCGUCUACACGGCCGACGGUCCUUCCCCCUCGGUGCAGCAGCUCCCUCAUCCCAGGACAAAGCGGUUCUUGGCUCAUAAGUUCAGCACCGGCAUCCUGCAGCUCGAAGCGGAGGACCGCUACAUUGUUGCCGACCUCAAUGUCUACCCUGAGAAAAAGGGGGCGCGUGCCGAACUCUGCGUGUUAAAUUCAGACACCGGAGAGUGGAGAAUCAUCCCCGAGGUGCCUGCCGGUCACCUCCCUGACCUCUGGUGGACCGACGAGGUGCUCGCUUUUGGCGGCCGUUUCCUGUGCUGGGUCGACUACUUCUCCGGCAUCGUACUAUGCGACUUCGCCAAAAAUAUAGACUCCCAGUGCUCCACUUCGUGCCUUUCCCUCUAA
rnacentral:rRNA from 1 species